GGGCUUUGUCUGCCUGACUUGAUAGUCACAUAAUUAUGAAGUUGGGGGCUCUGUGGUGUCAGGCACCUGUCUCUGGGAAUGUGGCCUGUAGAAUUUUCUACUGGGUCUACGGAGCAUGCCUCAAUCAACCAAAGCAGCUCUCCAAGCUCUGAGCAAAAUGGAGGACUUCCUUCACCCAGUGGGGCUUCCUAUUCUCUGCCUGACUUUACUUCGAAGAUGAAUAACUGUGCCUGGCUAAUCUUAAGUGUGACCUUCGACACAGUUACCUACACCCUCUGCCUGCUGACCUUAUGAUAAUUAAGUGCUGUGCUUCCAUUGUGAGGAUAGGCUUGUGCCGCUUAAUGCAAAUGAAGCAUACUGUGCACACCUAUCAAGCAACACCCCCUGCCCCCAGCUGCUGCCCUCUUCCUCUAUAUUCCCCUCACCCCUGAAACAAAGUUGAGCUUCCUCUCU
rnacentral:lncRNA from 1 species